ACUUUCAACAACGGAUCUCUUGGCUCUGGCAUCGAUGAAGAACGCAGCGAAAUGCGAUAAGUAAUGUGAAUUACAGAAUUCAGUGAAUCAUCGAAUCUUUGAACGCACAUUGCGCCCGCCAGUAUUCUGGCGGGCAUGCCUGUUCGAGCGUCAUUACA
rnacentral:rRNA from 1 species